rnacentral:rRNA from 1 species
UGGGGAAUUUUGGACAAUGGGCGAAAGCCUGAUCCAGCAAUGCCGCGUGUGUGAAGAAGGCCUUCGGGUUGUAAAGCACUUUUGUCCGGAAAGAAAUCCUUGGCUCUAAUACAGUCGGGGGAUGACGGUACCGGAAGAAUAAGCACCGGCUAACUACGUGCCAGCAGCCGCGGUAAUACGUAGGGUGCAAGCGUUAAUCGGAAUUACUGGGCGUAAAGCGUGCGCAGGCGGUUUGCUAAGACCGAUGUGAAAUCCCCGGGCUCAACCUGGGAACUGCAUUGGUGACUGGCAGGCUAGAGUAUGGCAGAGGGGGGUAGAAUUCCACGUGUAGCAGUGAAAUGCGUAGAGAUGUGGAGGAAUACCGAUGGCGAAGGCAGCCCCCUGGGCCAAUACUGGCGCUCAUGCACGAAAGCGUGGGGAGCAAACAGGAUUAGAUACCCUGGUAGUCCACGCCCUAAACGAUGUCAACUAGUUGUUGGGGAUUCAUUUCCUUAGUAACGUAGCUAACGCGUGAAGUUGACCGCCUGGGGAGUACGGUCGCAAGAUUAAAACUCAAAUGGAAUUGACGGGGUCAUAGCUG